GCGGGCGUAGCUCAGUUGGUAGAGCUUCAGCCUUCCAAGCUGAAUGUCGCGAGUUCGAGUCUCGUCGCCCGCUCCA
rnacentral:tRNA from 1 species